UUCAGAGGCAACUUUGCACUUCCGCAGCUCCUUCAAGCUGUGACGGUAUGCACGGGGUCACGGGUGCUGGCUGAGUCCUACUUGCAUGCGGAAGAGGAAAUGUUGGCCACACGUGGCACGCAUAGCUCCAAGACCUGCUGUAAAUACAAAUGCCAGCUCUCAAGAUCAUCAGUCUAGGGUCUCUGGUAGCACCUGGCUGAUUCACAGUCUUAAAACUCUGCUAGCUGAUUGCAUACAGGUGAAGUUAGUCAUUCAACAGCUUGAACCUGCUGAAUAAUUGAAGUGGAAAUGCAGAUAUCUCCCAGCAUUCUGUGCUCUGGUCUAGGAAAAGAGAACAAAGAUGAAGGACUCCACUUUUCCAGGUGGUGGUAAGUAAGGCCAGGAGCUCCAUGAGCUUCAACUCAGUACAAAACCUCUCUCCCCAGCUUGGCCCUCUCAUAGCAGGUUUCCUUGGAUCUGUCUCUUUUUCCAGGGUGUCCCCACACCCACCCAAAUAAUUGGAUUGAUUUGCAAAGGGUUUGAAAGAAAGGAAACAGGUAAGACACUACUGCCAUUUCGAAGUCCUCAGUGACUGGUGUUGGAUGAGGAUAGGUGUAUCACUCAGGGGCAGGGAGCACACAAUUCCCCCGAUGCGAGUGUCUAUCUCUUAAUGGAUCCGUCUCAUUCAGGAGAAGAUUAAACCACCCACCUUAAAUUUUCAAAGCCUUGCAAAGAAAGGAUGAAGAAGCCCUCCCACAUGGUAGAUAAGCAUUGUCACAGGUGGUCAGAGGGGUGAAAAACGCUGUGUCUGAUCAUGACAUACAAUUGUGCCAAAGAUCUCCUGUGACUGUGAACCUACUGUGCUUGUGUUGUAAUCUUUCUGGGCAUUAUUGUUCUAGUGAGAAAAUUAUAUUUUCAUGAGUUCAUGGUUGUGUUUUAGAUUUAGAAUAUAGUUUUUUGAUCUGAGAGGCAUAAAAAAUUGAUAAAAUUGUUUAAGCUAUUGUUUUUUUAUGCACUGAUCAUAUUUGCCUCUGUGCAUUUGCUGUAUUGCUUUCAUAUUCUUUCAGUUUUCACACAUCUCUACAGUUCCUUCUGCAUGCAGCCAAAAAUAGCUGCAAGAUGAGCCUUUUUCUCAUUAUAUCGACACUUCUGUAUCCAUUUCAAUGAGGGGAAAAAACGGAAAAUUACACAAAAUCAGUGAGGACCACAGCUUUUCAGAGGCUUUCUUUUGGUUUAGUUUGGUCUUGGGCAGUUUUAGUUUAUAUCAUGCCAGGGUAGACUGAGGCUUUUUGCUGUCGCAAUAAGUGACUAGGAGAAGGAUUAUAAAGGCUGUUGAAUGGUGUGCUGCAAUCCGUGUUCCCAUCUCUCUUCCUGGGUGAUCUAUUUAAUUAUCUCGCGCUUCACUGGUUUAUCAGAUGAUGCUACUUACACUGCUGGCUAUGAGAAUAUGAUGUGCCUUCGACAAACAUGAAAUGCUUGCGAUUCUCAGGUGGAAGAUACAGCAUAAAUAAAGAAAUCUACCCACUUUAGAAGAAUGAACUU
rnacentral:lncRNA from 1 species